GCGGCCGCGGGAAUUCGAUUGGCGCUGGCACGAGUUAGCCGGUGCUUCUCUGCGGGUAACGUCAAUCACAGCGCUAUUUACGCUGUUGCCUUCUCCCGCUGAAAGUACUUUAUAACCCGAAGGCCUUCUUCAUACACGCGGCAUGGCUGCAUCAGGCUUGCGCCCAUUGUGCAAUAUUCCCCACUGCUGCCUCCCGUAGGAGUCUGGGCCGUGUCUCAGUCCCAGUGUGGCUGGUCAUCCUCUCAGACCAGCUAGGGAUCGUCGCCUAGGUGAGCCAUUACCCCACCUACUAGCUAAUCCCAUCUGGGUUCAUCCGAUGGCGUGAGGCCCGAAGGUCCCCACUUUACUCCAAAGAGUUAUGCGGUAUUAGCCACCGUUCCAGUGGUUAUCCCCCUCAUCGGGCAGAUCCCCAGACAUUACUCACCCGUCCGCCGCUCGCCGGCGGGGAAGCAGCUUCCCCCCGCUGCC
rnacentral:rRNA from 1 species